rnacentral:rRNA from 1 species
CCCUUAGAUGUUCUGGGCCGCACGCGCGCUACACUGACGAAGUCAGCGAGCAUGUCCUACGCCGACAGGUGCGGGGAAUCUUGUCAAACUUCGUCGUGAUGGGGAUUGAUUAUUGAAAUUCUUGAUCAUCAACGAGGAAUUCCUAGUAAGCGCAAGUCAGCAGCUUGCGUUGAUUACGUCCCUGCCCUUUGUACACACCGCCCGUCGCACCUACCGAUUGGAUGGUCCGGUGAAGCCUCGGGAUUGUGGUUCUUGCCGCUUUAUUGUGGCGUGACCGCGAGAACUUGUCUAAACCUUAUCAUCUAGAGGAGGGUGAAGUCGUAACA